UACGUAGGGUGCAAGCGUUGUCCGGAAUUAUUGGGCGUAAAGAGCUCGUAGGCGGUCUGUCGCGUCUGCUGUGAAAACUCGGGGCUUAACCCCGGGCCUGCAGUGGGUACGGGCAGACUAGAGUGCGGUAGGGGAGACUGGAAUUCCUGGUGUAGCGGUGAAAUGCGCAGAUAUCAGGAGAAACACCGGUGGCGAAGGCGGGUCUCUGGGCCGUAACUGACGCUGAGGAGCGAAAGCAUGGGGAGCGAACAGG
rnacentral:rRNA from 1 species